rnacentral:rRNA from 1 species
UACGUAGGGUGCAAGCGUUAAUCGGAAUUACUGGGCGUAAAGCGUGCGCAGGCGGCUUUGCAAGACAGAUGUGAAAUCCCCGGGCUUAACCUGGGAACUGCAUUUGUGACUGCAUGGCUGGAGUGCGGCAGAGGGGGAUGGAAUUCCGCGUGUAGCAGUGAAAUGCGUAGAUAUCGGGAGGAACAUCAGUGGCGAAGGCGACUUCCUGGACCAAAACUGACGCUGAGGUGCGAAAGCGUGGGGAGCAAACAGG